rnacentral:rRNA from 1 species
UACGGAGGGUGCAAGCGUUAAUCGGAAUUACUGGGCGUAAAGCGCGCGUAGGCGGCUUGGUCAGUUGGGUGUGAAAGCCCCGGGCUUAACCUGGGAACUGCAUCCAAUACUGCCAGGCUAGAGUACGAGAGAGGGGGGUAGAAUUCCUAGUGUAGCGGUGAAAUGCGUAGAUAUUAGGAGGAAUACCAGUGGCGAAGGCGGCCCCCUGGCUCGAUACUGACGCUGAGGUGCGAAAGCGUGGGGAGCAAACAGGAUUAGAUACCCGUGUAGUCC